AACGAACGCUGGCGGCAUGCCUAACACAUGCAAGUCGAACGAGACCUUCGGGUCUAGUGGCGCACGGGUGCGUAACGCGUGGGAAUCUGCCCUUGGGUUCGGAAUAACAGUUUGAAACGACUGCUAAUACCGGAUGAUGACGUAAGUCCAAAGAUUUAUCGCCCAAGGAUGAGCCCGCGUAGGAUUAGCUAGUUGGUGAGGUAAAGGCUCACCAAGGCGACGAUCCUUAGCUGGUCUGAGAGGAUGAUCAGCCACACUGGGACUGAGACACGGCCCAGAAUCCUACGGGAGGCAGCAGUGGGGAAUAUUGGACAAUGGGCGAAAGCCUGAUCCAGCAAUGCCGCGUGAGUGAUGAAGGCCUUAGGGUUGUAAAGCUCUUUUACCCGGGAUGAUAAUGACAGUACCGGGAGAAUAAGCUCCGGCUAACUCCGUG
rnacentral:rRNA from 1 species